rnacentral:lncRNA from 1 species
GCACUUGUGGCAUUAUGGCAACCUGGUUGACUUAAUGGAACCUUUAGAAUCCAAUGGUUAUUAUUGAUAUUAUUUACAUUUAUUCAUUUAUUUCAUGCUUCUGUCCUAAAUAAUUUAAGGAUCACACACACAUUUUCUGAAACCGCUUGUCCCAUGCAGGUCUUAGAGAGCCGGAGCCUAACCCGGCAACACAGGGCACAGGGCUGGAAGGGACCCACCCAGGAUGGGAUGCCAGUCCAUCCCAAGGCACCUCAACUGGAACUCGAACCCCAAACCCACCGGAAAGCAGGAGUAGCUCAAACCCACUGUGCCACCACACCUCCCCUAUAAAUCAUGAAUGAUUUAGCAAUUUAUACAGCUGAGUAAUUUUUACUGGAUAAAGUGUACUCGGCAUAGUCCUCUGAGACGAACCGUAUUGAUUAUGAUGUAAAAUUUAAACAUGCAAAAUUUAACCAGGAUUCGUGUUGGCAGCAUGUCUUCAUCAGUGUGUACACACAUUCGUGAACCACACAAAUAAAUGUAGAACAAAAAUUGUCAUGUAUCUCACUUUUUAUGAAAUGGAAAAUCAUUGGACAAAAAACGGAAUAUAUGGAGACACCUGACUGGACAAAUUACAAACCAACUGAUUACAUUACAUAGCAAGACACGGUUGUGCAAAUGAAAAGUGAGGCUUUCGGAACCUGUUUGAAACGAAUGGUUUUCUAGCUAAAACUUUUACUACGUCCAGACACAAGACUUUUAAGUCCACUGUUUGUGAUUUUUUUUGGAAGUAACAGUGUAGCCAAUGUCCCAGCUCAUGUCACCUUUAUUGUCUGAUGUGAAGUUCUGCCUUGUCUCACAACAGCACCAUUUCUGCAAUGUUACUGGCGAAGAAUCCUGUAUUUACCCUGGACGGCUCGGAAAACAAAUGCACGCAUCAUGCAGCAGCGAGAGCAGUCAAUGGAAAAGGACAUCAUGCUGGGCAAAGUGGAAGGUCAAUGUAGAAGAGGAAGGCCAGCAAUCUGGUAGAUCGACACAAUCACCACACCCAUGGAUGCCCCACUUUCAAGUCUUAGCUGGCUGGCGGAAGACCGGAUGCUUUUCAGGUCAACUAUCCGUAGAGUCGCCAUGAGUCGACAGCGACUCGACAACACCUAACAACAACAACUGUCCAUUUUGUGGAAUCAAGCCUUGUGAGGUUUAACAACACCAAUCAAAAUCAAGGUAUCAACAACCAUCGUGUCAAAACUUUCAGACAAGUAACCAGAAUGACUGCCUGUAUUGUUUGCAGAUCAGUGGUCGAAAAGAGAAGAGGUGCGUCAUUUGACUCGCUCUCUUGCGUCUCCAGGCAUUCGUGAUGUUUGUGUGAAAAGCGUUGGGUUUUGUUGUGGACUUUGAUGAUGAAAGUCGAGAAGGGCGUACGACGAGGAGGCGAGGGUGUGGUUGAGUGUGUCUGUGGCGUCCUCAACGCCAUCUCCAGAUACCAGCUUUUAACUUUUUACACAUUCCCAAAAAGAUAAGGAGCCGUUUGUAAGGAAUUCACGUAGCAGACACUCUUAUCCGGAACAGGCUAUAACACAUGGCCAGAGAGGGAAAAAGGUCAUAUAUUCAGCGUACUGAUUGUCAAUAUAUACUACAGCAAUAACUGAUAACAGCUUAUUCAUAGUUAACACUGGUCUUGUCUGCUGUUUUGGGUGGGGAACUGCAGUAUAACCAUUAAUUCAACUUAUUUCUCUGCACCGGUGCCUUGCGGUUCUUCUUUAUAGCUGCUCACUAGUGAUCUGCAUCAUCCUCCUGCUUAUUUUCUCCCUUUGUCCUUUAGACAAUUUCCCAUCUGUUAAUCUCUAACAUCAUGAUGCUGGCUCACAAAUAAUCGAGAAAUCUUCUGUCUAAAAAGGUACAGCGUGCGGCACAUAGCGCAAAACUGAACGCAGCGUAAGGUACUCCGCAAAUUUUCAAAUAGCACCCGUUUCUGCGCCAUACCAUAAUGUAGGCUUCUCUUAGACUAUUUACCCCAACAAGCUCAUUCCUUCUGACAGCCAAU